GGUUCAUGGACUACUCCAGGGCCAGCCAUGUGGCCGACGACAACGGUCAGAGGGCAUUUGCACUGGUGAACAAGGCGACGGGACAAGCUUUGGUAAACAAGGACAAGAAACGCGCCGACGGUUGUGUCCAGGUCCAACUAGCACCAUACAACGAUGAUGGAUAUGUGGACAUCUCGAUGUUCUGGACCAUGCUCGAGGAGGUGUAUGGCCAGGGAUUUCACCAAAUAGCAACAAUGAGGGACAGUUCUUUGGUCAUCGACGGGCUAAAGGGCAAUUGCAAGGAGGGAACAAUCGUUGGGGUUGAUCCUUCACAUUGGACGUAUAUGGCUAAAGUAAAUGAUAACCAGCUCUGGAAGAUCCUCCCGGUCAGCGGCAGUGGGACCACCACCGUUCCUAUGUAGCUCGGUCAUUAUAGGUUCUUGGAGGCUGACCGGAUGGAAAGACCUUCCCCAAAUAAAAAUGGAUUUGUUGUUUUCUUUUCACAAUAAUAAAUUGUCGUUACCCGUGUGCUUC